AGGCGCCAAGCCCCCUCCUGCUUCCGAGGGAGCCGCUCCCAGCCCCUCCAGUGGGUGGGAGGUGGAAGAGGAGGUGGGGGAAGAGGAGAGCGCCACCGACCAGUGGGAUGAUGAAGACUGGAGCAGCUUGGAGCAAGAAAGAGAG